UACAAAAUGCAUAAAGUCCCCGGUGGCCGCUACCUACGGCGCCAAACCCUUGCCUCGGUCCUCCGCCGCCCCGCUCGUGCUAGGACCUGUAGGGUUAGUGGUGUGAGAACUACAACGAAGUUCCCAGUGGGCUCGGCAUCCGACCUCGCCGACUUACCCACUAGGUCUAUCCAGGCAUAAGUAUUUCAAAGGAAGAAAAGUAACCAUUACUAAUGCAACUAAUACUAUGCCUGCAAGAAAGAGUCAGUAGAUAUACAAUUUCAAUGCGAAAAUGGAAAUGCAUGCAUGCUCCAAUCAUAAUCAAACUUUGGCUCUUACCCAAUCUUACCGGUUAACUCUGUUAACCCCAAUAACUCACAACCCAAAAUCCCUUAAUAACGGGGGACUCGAACCUCCCUAGGGACCGUCAACUGGUGGGACUUUACCACGCCCAGUGGUGACCAACUCCGGAGCGCACCGCUCGAGGGGGAGCGACCUCCCUCAAGCCAAGACGAAAGGUGAGUGUCGAUCUAAUCCUCAACUUGAGGAUCCAUAGCCACUAGUCACAAUGCCAAUAUCACGAUAGGUCUCUACCUAUUUAUUUUUGCCACUUUCAAGGCCUUAUCUUCGACCAUGUCACUAUGGGUCAAACUAUUUUCAACGGUCAUCUCUCAAUGCAAUUCUUGUUUCUAUGUCAAUGACACCCUUGUUUUCUAAUGUCCAAGUCCAUACUUAUGUUCACACAUCUCGAGGGCCCAAUCACACAUGUCCGUUUUGGUUCUAUCAUUCUUCUACGUUCAACUACUUUAGAAGCAUAAAAAUGAAAUCAAACCAAGUUCCACAUGUAGCUACCCUACUAUGCAUGAAUGGGUAUAUAUAUAUAUAUAUGCUCAAAAAUAGAGAAAUAGACAUAGAGGGGAAUCCAACGAUUCCGGCGUGCACCCCCCACCUCUAUGAGUCGUGUGGGUGUAGAAUAUUAAGGCCCCCGCACUUUACGAAAGCCGAUUCCGCGCCCUAUAAUCAAAUAGUGCCAUAUUAGGCCUUUUUGUACAUGAACUAUACUCUAACAUUUUCGAAAUAUUAAACGAAGUUGUCCAACGUGUUUUGGGCACCCCCAAUUGGGUUUCUACAGGGUCAAUUUGUCCCCGAAAAAUCCUAGGGCAAAAACCCCAAAUUCAAGCCCUAAUGUUGCCAUUUAGGGUUUCCCCAUGAAUCGAUCCCAACCCUAAGCAAAGAAUAGCUUAGGAUCAUCUAAGAAGCAUCCUAGUAAGGUUUCUAGACCUUUGGUACCAACCCUAGGGCUCCAAACAUCAUCUCCAAGGAUUCACCAUGAGAGCACCUUGAGCUCUCAUGGGUUCCAUGGUGUUCAUGGCUCAAAAGAGCUUCUAAAACCUCUAAGGAGCACAAAGCUCCAAAUCUCUUAACCAAAAUCCAAACCCUAGAGGAAAACCUUACAAAACUUACCUCUAGUCCAAGCCCCACCAAGAUUCUCCUUGUUGGAGAGCUCCUAGAACCUCCAAAGCCUCCAAAUCCUCCUCCUCUUCUCUUCUUCUUCUUCUUCUCCAAGUCCUAGAGCAUGGGUUCUAGAGAGAGAAAGAGAGGAAAAUGGGUGAGAGGGUGGAAAUGGCUGUGGAAGAGAGGGGGUGAGUCAUAUAUAGUGUUGUAACAAUUGCACUUAAGCCCCUCCACUUGUUUCCACUUGAUCUGCCCAGACUGGGCAUUUUUCGCCUUCGGGGACCGGUCUCCCCGACCAGGGACCGGUUCCCGAACGGGGGUUUUCCAGGACUUAGCCAAAUUUUCGAGUUUUUCGGCUGUUGCGCAGCGAGGGACCGGUCUGCCCGUCAGGGACCGGUCUCCCGAGGACCGGUCUCACCACCAGGGACCGGAUGCCUCAGGAUUUCCUGGCAGGCUACGCGCACGGGGACCGGUCUCUCCUUCAGGGACCGGUCCCCGAGAGCUAAAAACCUGGGACUUAGCCAGAUUUCCAGAUUUGCUCUCCGGGUCCCUUUUUGCUCCGUUUAUGAACUCCAAUGCACUUAGGGUUCACUUUAACUCAUUCGAUUCCGCGUUCCGCUCGUUUUGACGGAACUCGGCACGACUUACGAGGGAUGUGGAGUGUUACAUUUCUCUAGGUUGGAUUGGAAGGGUUCUUGCUCUCUUUGGAAGCUUGAGAAGAGAUUUCUACACAAGAGGUGAGUUAAGCCCUCUACGCCUAGAUGGUUAAAGAUUGAGCUUUUCGAUGCUCGUUUCGUUUGUAUAACUCUUGUUCCUACAUCUUUAGGGUGCUAGGAGACUAGUGGACACCUCCGUUCGGCGAAACGAAGAGUUCCGUUUUUCUGUGGGUUUGACUUCAUGAAAACGGGGCAAAAUGGCCCCUAUGCUUCCUAUACUUAUCGUAAAGUCUUUUUGAAUGCAAAUCCAUACUAGAUAGAAUUUAUGUGAAUUUUAGAAGACUUAAAAUGCAUGUGCUAUGUGUAAGAUAAAUUUCACUCUAUAUAAUAGAGCAUACUGGGUAAUUUUCAUGCAUGUGAGAAGUGUUCGAGAUAGCAAUUGGAAUCAUGUCGCUUAUGUUAACUCAUAAUUGUGUAAUUGUAAACACUACACUAUGAUUGGACAUAGUGAAUAAAGUGUCAUAAAGGGGCACUUCACUUAGUAACUAUGAAACUCGUAUGAUGAGACAUAAUGAUAGGCCAUUGAUAUCUAUUACUUCCAUGUUUUAGACAUGAUGACUUAGAGAUAGGCCAUUGAGAUAUGUGACAUAUUCCAUAUUGUUAGACAUGAGGACUUGGUACUGGAGACGGAUCUUACGCUACUUGCCAUUGUGCUCAUUCGCACAUGCUUGUGAGGGUCGCUCCCUACAAGCCGGCAUUUCGGAGAUGGCCAUCGCGAUACAUAUUCACCGUGCGGGAUUGGGCGCCGAAGUGGAUUGCCGUGGGAAAGGCUCAUUCCUAGAGUGGGGAUGUUGACUACCACGGGGCCAUUAGGCUCGACAUCGGCCAGACAGCCUACCGGUGGGUCUUCAGGCCAGACAGCCUUCGGACGGGUCUCACGAGAUUUAACUUUAAGUAGUUAACAUGCCAUGUGGACAUUGAUUAGAAUAGUAAACAGUAACAUCUUUACUAUUUAUCUUGUGGACAUCAUACUAAUGAUACUUUGAUACAUUCAUGCUAGUGUAGCCUUUUAUUACUUGAGCAAAAUCAUGCUAAGUAGAGAUAUCUUGUGGUAGCAAGUAUUCUUAUGUAUUUACUCGUUGUACUUAUCGCUCUUACUCAUACUUGUUUACUGACCCCUUUUUGUAGCUUUUGGGCCUAGUGGCGUAUUUCACUGAAGUCAGUAAUUGCCCACUGGGAACUAUUGUUUAAUAGUUCUCACGCCCUCUGUUUUAUGGUUUUAUUUCAGAGCCUUCGGCACCGGCGGAGGCACGGGAUCGCAGCAAGGGUGUCGCCUAGCUUGAUAGAUAGCGGAGCUCGCUUUUGCUCCUAGGUGAUUACUCUCUUUUUGUGUUUUUGUGAGAGAGAGGUUUUGUACCAUGUAUAGAGACCAUCUAUGUACCUUGUUUAGCUCUUGAAUUUGGGACUCCUAUUGUAUUACUUUAUGUUUUUACAUAGUGGAUUUAGCCUUAUGUUCCUUUCCCUUAUUGCAGCUUACAGAUAUACUUUGCUCUGAUACUUCUAGACAUUCUCCUUUUGUUGCUUUAUUUAUCGCUUCGUUAUUUCUUUUAUCGUUUUGUUCUAGACGCCUUGUAUGUUUUAGACAUACGGCGGGUCUCGACACGCGCCGGGCGGGCUUCCGCUGGGUCCCAGGGCAUGACAGAUUAGUUUGGUAUCAGAGCCUAGGGUUGAGUCUUAGUAGACCUAGCAAACCUUAGGCCGGUUGGACUAUAGGAAAUAGGCUCGUGAGAGACGAGGUCUAUUUGACUUGUGAGCGAAAAUAUCAUGAUUGGGUACCUUGAUAACUCUAAAAAGUUAGAGUUGAAUCGAAGUGUAUGGCUUCUAACUUCGCGCAGGGUUACGUUGGCGGCCGACAACGUAACAUCGGGAGUUAGUAGUGAGGCACACUUUCUUACUUUCGCAUGAUUUGGGGUAUUAUCUGCUUGAGCGGGGAUACGAUAGCGUGGGUUACUGUCACGCCCCGGGACCGGCGGAGGCCCUCCCGGUGGCGUGCCCAGACCCGCCAUAUGUCUACACAUAUAAGGCGUCUACAAUAAAAGCGGAAGAAAAGCAAGAAAUAAAACAAAUGAAAGAAGGGAAAUAACCAGCAACUAAUGAUAUCAGAGCAAAUAUAGUUCUAACAUCUACACCAAAGUAAAGAGAUAAGGAUAGACAAUAAAGGAAAUCAUAAGUAGUACAAUAUCUGUCUCUAGUACAAAAAUGGUGGUCUCUAUACAUAGAUACAAAAACUCUCACUCUCUCAACUACAAACGAAAGAGUAAACCACCUAGGCAAAGUACCGCUCCUCGCUAGCUAGCUAAGCGAUCCCCUUGCCGCGAUCCCGUGCCUCCGCCGGUGCCGAAGGCUCUGAAAAGUAAACCAUAAAACAGGGGCGUGAGAACUAUCAAAAAUAGUUCCCAGUGGGCAAUUACUGACUUCAGUGAAUGCACCACAAGGCCCAAAGCUACAGAAGAUGUCAGUGACUAACAAUGUAAUAAUUAGACGGUAAGUAAAAUGUAACUUACUACAACAUGAUAUCUCUACUUAGCCUAAAUAGCAUAAGUAUGAAACAACCAUACAUGAAGUAACAGUCUCCAACUAUCAUAAUGUUCACAAUGCGAAAUAGUAAAGUUCCGUUGUUUACUAUUCUAGUCAAUGUCCAAAUAAUAUUCUAAGUCAUAUCUAUCAACAUGUCGUAACGGAUAUAUAAAGUCCAAUCUGAAGAGACCACCCGAAGGCUGUCUAUGGCCUGAGACCCACCCGUAGGCUGUGCGGUGCGAGCCUAAUGGCCCCGUGGUAGUCAUAUCCCACCCUAGGAAUGCUGGCCUACGGCAAUCCACUUCGGCGCCCAAUGCCGCACGGCGAAUGAUAUCGCGAUGGCCAUCUCCGGAGUGCCGGCUUUAGGGAGCGACCCUCACAAGUCAUGUGCGGAAUGAGCACAAUGGCAAGUAAGUCAACGAUCUGUCGCAAGUACAAGUCCUCAUUUCUAAUAACAUGGAAGUGUCAGGUAUCUCAAUGGCUAUAUCCUAUGUCAUCAUGUCUCUAAUAGAAUAUAGCAAGAUAUGUAGUGGCCUAUCAAUAUGUUCUCUAUAUUGCAGUUUCAUAGUUUUACUAGUUUCAAGUGCCUUUAUACACUCUUGCUCUCUAUGUCAAAAAACAUGGCAACUAUGUCCAAGGUAACAUAUUCCAAGUCAUCAUCAUCUAUAAGAGAUGUAUUUUCAUUUGCAAACAGGCACAUUUCCCGUAUGCAUGCAUUCACUCAUAUACUCUACAUAUAUGUGAAAUUUUCAUAAUACACAAGGCAUGCAUUUAAGUGGCUCUAAGAUUCAUAUAAAUUCCAUUUAGCAUAGAAAUGAAUCUAAAAUAUUUUUACAAACAAGUAGAAAGAGCAUAGGGCCAUUUUGCCCCAUUUCCACGAAGCCAAACCACCGAUGACAAUGAAACUCCUCGUGCGCUCAACGAGGGUGUCCUCUAGUCUCCUAGUACCCUAAAGGUAUAGAAACAUGUGUCAUACAGGCCAAACAAACAAAACCUAGCGCAAACAUUAAGCUAAUCAUCAUAGGGUGAGGAAAACUACAUCUAGUGCAAAAUCUCCUCUAAAAGCUCCAAAAUGAAGCUAGGUCAUCCAAUCCAACCCAAAAGGAAGCCUCUAAUCCAUCAAUCUAGCUCAAAAGCCCUAGAUUCAAAAUGCCCAAAAUAACCCUAAUAUACAAUCUAGGUUUCAUCUCAAAGAAAUCCAAUAAAACUCAAAUCUAGAGGAAGAUAGUGUAAUGCUUAUCUCUAGAAGCUUCAAAUCAAGCCUAAAUCCUUUAAAUCCCAAGAUCUAUCCUCCACUUAGCUCCAAAUCAAGCCUCUAGCUCCCUAAUGGUGGAGAAGCAUAAAAGGGAGAGAAAAGGGAUUAUCAUUACAAAAUCUAGGCUAGAGGAGAUUAAAACCAAAGAGAAGCAAAGAGAAAGCUCUCCUUACUUUUCUCCCUCUGCAGUGGCAAGCUCAAAGAAGAGCCCUAGGGCGUGGUGCUGUUAUAGUAUUGCUACAAUAGCAAAAAACCCUGCAGAACAACUGCACGAAAUCUGCUUCCUUGUACCGGUUACACGGGCCUCUGUACCGGUCACAGGCCGAUCGAAUAUUGCAAAACCGAGCAUUGGAUCGGCGCGUUGCGGCUCUGUACGCGCUACAAGGCGAUAGGAUGUACCAGGUUACAUUACGCAACCUAUGUACGUUACAAGCCUGUCUUGUUCCGGUACAGAAGCCGCUGCUGCAGGCUAUCCGAGGCUGACCAAAAAUUCCAAUUUGGGAUCUUGGUGCCAAGAUCAAAAACAUCCUCGGGAUGCGUGCCAGGGGUCGGGACACUAUCAACGACCCUCCAAAAACUGUGGAAAGGUUCCACACACAGAUCAAACACUCGAAUCUUGCAAUUUGCUAAGAUCCAGUGUAUUACAGUUACUAACUUACGCAUUUAUGAUGUUGUAGUGACGAUGCCGAUUACACGCUCCUAAUCUGCCGGGGCGGAUAAUGCGGCUAACUUGGAGGAGGUCGAGACCUCCGCUACCUCCGGAUCCGGCGAGGUCCGAGAGUUGAGGAGCUAACUUGCGGCCCUCACCGACUUAGUCACUCAGCAGGCGGAGGCGGCCCGACAGCAGACGGAGGCGGCGCGCCGACAGGAGGCGCGGAUGAAGCGCCUGGAGGAUCUUCUGCUACAGCAGGCGGCAGCUUUUAGGGAGACUUAGGCCCCUACACCGCUAGCACCAGUCGUGGACGUCGCACCGAGAGCGCCGUCUCCCGCCUCCAGUUCUUCGUGAGAAGCGCCCCCUGCCGCGCCUCAGGAGGAGGCUAUCGCGGCACCACCUGUUCAGAGGGCCCCGAUUGGAGCAGUGUACCCUACUAUGGUCGAGGGGGCAGAGGGGGACCGACUUAUGGAGCGCCUGUCACGCCCACGACCGCCUAUUUGGUUGGUUUGGGGCACGCCAACAGAUCGCUGAACGGACAGGGUUUCCUCUGUCUGUGGACAGAGUCUCCCCUGUACGUUCAAGGGUUAGCAAUCAAUACAAUGUACGAAGUUCCAACCAGGAACACAUUUCAAUCAAGAUUGCAUAAUGGAAGGUAUCAAACAACAUAACACAUCCUAUGUUAUUACAUGCAUUCACAUUCAUACAUUUUACAUCCCAAAUACUUAUUACAUUUAAUUUCCAAAUACAAUACGAUUUAACAUGAUUAUUACAAAUCUUAUUCCUUUCAUUUCCUUACAUCCCUAAGUAAAGCCGACUCAGGGUACCGCUAUCUCUAGUCUCGGUGGUAGGGCGCUAACUAUGAUGCUACGCCCUCGCCUCGCGCCGCCGCGCCGCUCACGUGUGAACCUGUAACACCCCAAAACCACGUGGGGUGAGAACCAACUCCAUGGUUCCCAGUGGGUACGGCCACCCAAGGGAAAAGCUCGACCAAUAGGUCCAAGGGAGGCAACUGCAAGUUAGUUCAAUAAACAGAUAGAUAUAUAUCUUGAUUAUGCAACGAAUAAAACCAUGCAUUGCCUCACGAAUGCAAUAAUGCAAUGCUAUAUGCAAAUCAUGCAAUAAUGCAACUAUGCAACCAACUAGUAGUUCAUUUGACACUACUUUCAAUUCUGCUAACCAUAGCUCAUCCAUUCGAUAUCUAAGGUUUCCUCUAUCUUAGAUUCUUGUCAAUCACCGUUUUAAUCAUAAAGUUUCAUCUACCUUUACAAGGCUAACCACCCGACUCGGUCUUGAGUCAAUCGUCUGCGGAGUACCGCACUAGAACCAGGCUCGAGGCGAUGGACGUCUCACAUACACCUCAGCCCUAGAUCCUCUCGACUAGGAUACCAAAUCCAUAACUCAUAAUGCAUACUUGUUGUACACUCAUUUGGCUAUGACCCAAUCUUACCGGUUAACCAUGUUAACCCCAAUAACUCACUACCAAAAUCCCUUAAUAACGGGGGACUCGAACCUCCCUGGGGACCGUCAUCUGGGGGGACUUUACCACGCCCAGUGGUGACCAACUCCGGAGCGCACCGCCCGAGGGGGAGCUACCUCCCUCAAGCCAAGACGUAACGUGAGUAUCGAUCCAAUCCUCAACUUGAGGAUUCAUAGCCACUCGUCACAAUGCCAAUGUCAUGAUAGGUCUCUACCUAUUUAAUCAUGCCACUCUCUAUGUCAACUUGGACCAAUGUCAAUAUGGUUAAACUAUGUUUAACAAUCACUUUCUUGAUGCCAAUCAUGUCUCUAUUGUCAUUGUCACCCUUGUUUACUAAUGU
rnacentral:lncRNA from 1 species